GAAGUGCGAUAAGUGUCAUGACUUGCAGAUCCCCGAGAGCUGACAAAUUUCUGAAUGCACAUGGCGGCCAACUCAUCGUUGGUCAUGUAUUGCAGAGUGUAGUUGUUCAUACUCAUCAUCCUCCCACAUCUUUAUCAGGUGUUGAGAGGGAUCUGCGCUUGUUGGUGUUCCACCAUUGCGAGCGUGAAAUGUCAGAGUGGAUGCCUCUCUCAUCAGAGGCUCCAACUUCGGAGUUUCUAGAAGUUAACCAUGCUCUGUCUCAUAGCAUCAAUGGUGCUAGAGAGCCUUUCUCCAUUCACCUCUGCAAUGCAGGAAAACCCGCUGAACUUAA
rnacentral:misc_RNA from 1 species